UACGAAUGGUGCUAUCGUUGCUCGGAAUUACUGGGCGUAAAGGGCGCGUAGGCGUCACUGUUAGUCAGGCGUGAAAGUCCUGGGCUCAACCUGGGAACUGCGCUUGAUACGGCAGAGCUAGAGGAUGGAAGAGGGUCGCGGAAUUCCCAGUGUAGAGGUGAAAUUCGUAGAUAUUGGGAAGAACACCGGUGGCGAAGGCGGCGACCUGGUCCAUUACUGACGCUGAGGCGCGACAGCGUGGGGAGCAAACAGG
rnacentral:rRNA from 1 species